rnacentral:rRNA from 1 species
GAGAAAGUAAACCGCCUGGGGGAGUACGGUCGCAAGAUUAAAACCUCAAAGGAAUUUGACGGGGGACCCCGCACAAGCGGUGGGAUGAUGUGGAUUAAUUCGAUGCAAACGCGGAAGAACCCUUACCUGCUCCUGACAUGUCAGGGAAGAUCUAAGGGGAUUAGAUUUGUGCCUUUCGGGAACCCUGAACACAGGUGCUGCAUGGGCUGUCGUCAGCUCGUGUCGUGAGAUGUUUGUCUUAAGUGACGCAACGAGCGCAAACCCUUGCUACUAGUUGCCCCAAUUAAGUUUGGCACUCUAGUGGGACUGCCGGUGAUAAGCCGGAGGAAGGUGGGGAUGACGUCAAGUCCUCAUGGCCCUUAUGAGCAGGGCUUCACACGUCAUACAAUGGUAGGUACAGACGGUCGCUAAGCCGCGAGGUGGAGCUAAUCCGAGAAAGCCUAUCGUAGUCUGGAUUGUAGUCUGCAACUUGACUACAUGAAGUCGGAAUCGCUAGUAAUCGCAGAUCAGAAUGCUGCGGUGAAUACGUUCCCGGGUCUUGUACACACCGCCCGUCACACCAUGGGAGUGGAGGAUACCAGAAGUAGUUAGGCUA